CGCGACCCCAGGUCAGGCGGGGCUACCCGCUGAGUUUAAGCAUAUCAAUAAGCGGAGGAAAAGAAACUAAGCGACAUCCCCUAGUACCGGCGAGCGAACCGGGGAA
rnacentral:rRNA from 1 species